GGUUCGGUGGUGUAGUCGGUUAUCACGCUUGUCUCACAUCUCCACUGAGGCACACAAGAGGUCCCCGGUUCGAACCCGGGCCGAGCCA